rnacentral:rRNA from 1 species
UACGAGGGGGGCGAGCGUUGUUCGGAAUUAUUGGGCGUAAAGGGUGCGUAGGCGGUUUGGUAAGUCUUAUGUGAAAUCUACAGGCUCAACUUGUAGUCUGCAUGAGAAACUGCCGGGCUUGAGUAUGGGAGAGGUGAGUGGAAUUCCUGGUGUAGCGGUGAAAUGCGUAGAUAUCAGGAGGAACACCUGUGGCGAAAGCGGCUCACUGGACCAUAACUGACACUGAGGCACGAAAGCUAGGGGAGCAAACAGG